rnacentral:rRNA from 1 species
GGGUUGUAAACCUCUUUUCACGGGGAAGAAUUUUGACGGUACCCGAGGAAUAAGCCUCGGCCAAUUACGUGCCAGCAGCCGCGGUAAAACGUGAGAGGCGAAUGUUAUUCGGAUUUACUGGGCGUAAAGAGAGUGUAGGCGGCUCUUUAAGUCAGGUGUGAAAUCUUCCGACUUAAUCAGAAGACGUCACUUGAAACUGGAGGGCUUGAGGGUAGUAGAAGGAAAUGGAAUUCCCGGUGUAGCGGUGAAAUGCGUAGAUAUCGGGGAGAACACCAGUGGCGAAGGCGAUUUCCUAGGCUAUUCCUGACGCUGAGGCUCGAAAGCGUGGGGAGCGAAGCGGAUUAGAUACCCGCGUAGUCCACGCCCUAAACGGUGGACACUAGAUAUAGGAGGUAUCGACCCUCUCUGUGCCGAAGCUAAC